AUGGUUUGCUGCUCUCCUUUAAUCUUUCACUUCCAAAGAGCAAGCUUCCUUACACAUAGCUUUGAUGAUGUGAUUGAAGCCUCCUUGGUGGUGAAGCUCAUUAUCUGCGUUUUUGGGUUGGCACUGCCGAUGAGCAUGCACUGCAGGAUGUCCAUGCUAACACCACAUGGACCAUUUCCUUGGUGCCUGCCCACAUUCCCUGAGUCUAGCAGUCAUCAGCAAACUUUCUUGCAUCUCAGGCCACCCUUGCUGGAUGGUUCAAGGCUGAUGGUUGCGAUGGCAUGUACAACAACCUUUCUUGCAUCUCAGGCCACCCUUGCUGGAUGGUUCAAGGCUGAUGGUUGCGAUGGCAUGUACAACAACCUGGCUGUUGUGAGCAGCACUACCCAUGGUGGAAGGUUGCCAUAUCUAUCUUUUCACCGUGUCGGUUGGGAUGACGAUGUUCUUUUAGCUGUGCUGCAAAUGGACAAGUUAAGAUCAUAA
rnacentral:rRNA from 1 species